CUAUUAGAUUAGCCAUGCAUGUCUCAGUAUAAGCUUCUAUACGGCAAAACUGCGAAUGGCUCAUUAAAACAGUUAUAGUUUAUUUGAUGGUCAAUCAUUACAUGGAUAACUGUGGUAAUUCUAGAGCUAAUACAUGCGCCCAAACCCGACUUUGAGGAAGGGUUGUGUUUAUUAGAUACAGAAACCAACCCAGGCUCCGCCUGGUCUUUUUGGGUGAUUCAUGAUAACCCCAACGAAAUCGCAUGCCUCCGGGCUGGGCGAUUAGUUCAUUCAAGUUUUCUGACCCUAAUCAGCCUUUCCGAACGGGUAGGGGUAAUUUGGCCCUACCCGGUUGGCCAAUGAACGGGGUAAACGGGAGAAAUUUAGGGUUUCGGAUUUCCCGGGAGAAGGGGGAGCCCUGAAGAAAACGGGCCUACCCACCAAUUCUAAAGGGAAAGGGCCAGCCAGGGGCCGCGGCAAAAUUUAACCCCAAAUUCCUUGAACACCAGGGGGAGGGUAGU
rnacentral:rRNA from 1 species